AACAGAAAGGGUAUCUGGGAAAGGUUGCAGUCACUUCUUGAGAAGAGGGAUUAGUGUUCAGAGGCUGCAGACAUGAGUUGCCUUAAGUUACUCCCUGGAAGGAGAGAGUGAAGAGACUGGCAGACCAGAGGAGGGGGAAGACCAGGACUUAUGGAAAGGCAGCAAGGUGCAGGGAAUGGACCUUGCCUGCUGUGUAGAGGGCUCCUAACCUGGAACCCAGAGUAGAAGGUGGGCCCAGGUUCCUCUGCCAGCCAGUGGGGGAGUGGCACUGUGAAGCAGAAGACUGCUGGAGAACAGGAACCUUGAUACACUCCCCUGAGAAGGGAAACCACAAUAGGGACCUGGUCAGAGGGCUGAGUCAUGAAGAGAAUAGUUGCAGUUCCUGAGACUGAAAGGGCCUGUAAAGGAGAAACUGAUGGGUUAUAAUCCCCAGGAGGCAAUGCCAUCCAGCAGCUCUCGCUCUCUAAGUGAUGCUAAGAACAGAAAGUUAUGUCUUAAAGCUUGACACAGGCAACAUUGAGUUGAUGCUGGUCAUGAGGUUCUGCACAUCACCCAAAUCAACCAACCAAACUCGCUUGUCAAGCUACUUCUCCUACAGGUUGGGAAGAGGGGAAAG